UGGCAUUGUGGUGGGGGAAGUUGUCAGCAAGCUGUAAGGGAGGGGCCAAUCUUUUGACCUCCCACACUUUCCCUCAUAAAGAUCCCACCACUUCCCAGCAACUUGUCACUGAAGACCAAGCUUCCAAUAUAUGAACCAUAGCCAGACAUCACAGGAGUCAUCUCAAGGCUCAUGGCUGCGGCUUGUCCAGGAUGCACUCAGAAGAGAUUAAAAAGGGGAAAAAUGAGGAGACCACCCACAUCUUCUGCCCCAGAAGGGUCCCUCCUUCCAGUCUUCUGAGCAGAAAAGGAAAGUUUCUCCUGGAGCUUUCUCCAUCAGUGCCUGCUGUGCAAUUCUGGGAUUUGGGCCACCUGGAGACUGAGCUGGGAGAAUUGAAAGCUAAAGAAAAUUAAACCAGG
ensembl:lncRNA